rnacentral:rRNA from 1 species
CGCGUAGGCGGUUAAAUAAGUCAGAUGUGAAGGCCCCGGGCUCAACCUGGGAACUGCAUUUGAAACUGUUUAGCUAGAGUGUGGUAGAGGAGAGUGGAAUUUCAGGUGUAGCGGUGAAAUGCGUAGAUAUCUGAAGGAACAUCAGUGGCGAAGGCGGCUCUCUGGACCAACACUGACGCUGAGGUGCGAAAGCGUGGGUAGCAAACG